CUGUUAUAUAGAGCUGUGGAGACCGGUCAUCAGUCUGUUAUAUAGAGCUAUGGAGACAGGUCAUCAGUCUGUUAUAUAGAGCUAUGGAGACAGGUCAUCAGUCUGUUAUAUAGAGCUAUGGAGACAGGUCAUCAGUCUGUUAUAUAGAGCUAUGGAGACAGGUCAUCAGUCUGUUAUAUAGAUCUAUGGAGACAGGUCAUCGGUCUGUUAUAUAGAGCUAUGGAGACAGGUCAUCAGUCUGUUAUAUAGAGCUAUGGAGACAGGUCAUCAGUCUGUUAUAUAGAGCUAUGGAGACAGGUCAUUAGUCUGUUAUAUAGAGCUAUGGAGACAGGUCAUCAGUCUGUUAUAUAGAGCUAUGGAGACAGGUCAUCAGUCUGUUAUAUAGAGCUAUGGAGACAGGUCAUCAGUCUGUUAUAUAGAGCUAUGGAGACAGGUCAUCAGUCUGUUAUAUAGAGCUAUGGAGACAGGUCAUCAGUCUGUUAUAUAGAGCUAUGGAGACAGGUCAUCAGUCUGUUAUAUAGAGCUAUGGAGACAGGUCAUCAGUCUGUUAUAUAGAGCUAUGGAGACAGGUCAUUAGUCUGUUAUAUAGAGCUAUGGAGACAGGUCAUCAGUCUGUUAUAUAGAGCUAUGGAGACAGGUCAUUAGUCUGUUAUAUAGAGCUAUGGAGACAGGUCAUCAGUCUGUUAUAUAGAGCUAUGGAGACAGGUCAUCAGUCUGUAAUAUAGAGCUAUGGAGACAGGUCAUCAGUCUGUUAUAUAGAGCUAUGGAGACAGGUCAUCAGUCUGUUAUAUAGAUCUAUGGAGACAGGUCAUCAGUCUGUUAUAUAGAGCUAUGGAGACAGGUCAUCAGGAGACAGGUC